rnacentral:rRNA from 1 species
UCAAGCUAAAAAGAGCGCAGGGUGGAUGCCUUGGCACUAAGAGCCGAUGAAAGACGUGAUAAGCUGCGAUAAGCUACGGGGAGGAGCACAUAUCCAUUGAUCCGUAGAUUUCUGAAUGGGGAAACCCGGCUGAGCAUACCUCAGUCACCGUACACUGAAUCCAUAGGUGUACGGAGGGAACCCGGUGAACUGAAACAUCUAAGUAGCCGGAGGAAGAGAAAGAAAACUCGAUUUUCAAAGUAGCGGCGAGCGAAAUGGAAAGAGCCCAAACCGGAGUGCGUGCACUCCGGGGUUCGGACUGCAUUUAUGACUUCUGACUGUAGCGGAACGGUUCUGGAAAGACCGGCCAGAGAGGGUGAGAGCCCCGUAGGCGAAACGGAAAGAAGCAGAGCAGGAUCCAGAGUACCACGAGACACGAGAAACCUUGUGGGAAUGAGCGGGGACCACCCCGUAAGGCUAAAUACUCCUUAGUGACCGAUAGAGCAGAGUACUGUGAAGGAAAGGUGAAAAGGACCCCGGGAGGGGAGUGAAAGAGAACCUGAAACCCUGUGUUUACAAACUGUGGAAGUACCAUACGAGUACAACCGCGUACUUUUUGUAGAACGGUCCGGCGAGUUACGUUUACUGGCGAGGUUAAGCACUUAAGGUGCGGAGCCGAAGGGAUACCAAGUCUUAACAGGGCGCAUAGCUUCUUACGAAGCAUUAGUCAGUGUACGUAGACCCGAAACCGGGUGAUCUACCCAUGUCCAGGCUGAAGUUGCCGUAAAAGGCAAUGGAGGGCCGAACGCACAUCCGUUGAAAAGGGUGGCGAUGAGGUGUGGGUAGGGGAGAAAUUCCAAUCGAACCCGGAGAUAGCUGGUUCUCCUCGAAAUAGCUUUAGGGCUAGCCUCGUGUUAACCUUGUGGAGGUAGAGCACUGAAUAUCCUAGGGGGCGUCAAAGUCUACCGAAGAUUAUCAAACUCCGAAUGCCAUAGAGGUGAUGCACGGGAGUCAGACUGCACGAGAUAAGUUGGGUGGUCAAAAGGGAAAGAGCCCAGACCUACAGCUAAGGUCCCAAAGUGCGUGUUAAGUGGAAAAGGAUGUGGGAUUUCGAAGACAACUAGGAUGUUGGCUCAGAAGCAGCCACACAUUCAAAGAGUGCGUAAUAGCUCACUAGUCGAGAGGUCCUGCGCCGAAAAUGUCCGGGGCUGAAACACGACACCGAAGCACAGGAUACCGUAUGGUAUGGUAGAGGAGCAUUGCUGGCGCGACGAAGCAGUACCGGAAGGAGCUGUGGAGUGCCAGGAAGAGAGAAUGCCGGAAUGAGUAGCGAGAGAGAGGUGGGAAUCCUCUCGGCCGAAUAUCCAAGGUUUCCAGGGUAAAGCUGAUCUGCCCUGGGUAAGUCGGGGCCUAAGGAGAGGCAGAAAUGCGUAUCCGAUGGACAGCAGGUUGAGAUUCCUGCACUAUCUUAAAACAGAACUGUGGGGACAUUUGUGGAGAGCACAGGCGCGGAACGGAAAGCCGCGUGCAAGCGAAGGAGGAGUCACAUAGGAAAAACCGUGUGGCAAUCCAAAGGCGUGAUGCGGACCGAACUAAAGUAGGGAAGUGUGUGAGCCAUGAAUCAAGAAAAGCCGCUAUUGUUUUUAAGAUACCCGUACCGUAAACCGACACAGGUGGAUGAGGAGAGAAUCCUAAGGCCGGCGGAAGAAGCAUUGUUAAGGAACUCGGCAAAAUGACCCCGUAACUUCGGGAGAAGGGGUGCCAACGAGAGUUGGCCGCAGAGAAUAGGCUCAAGCAACUGUUUAGCAAAAACACAGGUCUAUGCAAAACCGUAAGGUGAGGUAUAUGGGCUGACGCCUGCCCGGUGCUGGAAGGUUAAGAGGAGGGGUUAGCGCAAGCGAAGCUCUGAAUUGAAGCCCCAGUAAACGGCGGCCGUAACUAUAACGGUCCUAAGGUAGCGAAAUUCCUUGUCGGGUAAGUUCC